CCUACGGGAGGCAGCAGUGAGGAAUAUUGGUCAAUGGACGCAAGUCUGAACCAGCCAUGCAGCGUGCAGGAAGACGGCCCUAUGAGUUGUAAACUUCUUUUGUACGAGGGUAAACCCAGAUACGCGUAGCUGUCUGUAAGUAUCGUACGAAUAAGGAUCGGCUAACUCCGUGCCAGCAGCCGCGGUAAUACGGAGGAUUCAAGCGUUGUCCGGAUUUCUUGGGUUUAAAGGGUGCGUAGGCGGUCGGAUAAGUUAGAGGUGAAAACCCGAGGCUCAACUUAGGAGUUGCCUCUGAAACUGUUCGGCUAGAGAGUAGUUGCGGUAGGCGGAAUUUAUGGUGUAGCGGUGGAAUGCUUAGAGAUCAGAAAGAACACCGAUGGCGAAGGCAGCUUACCAAGCUACUUCUGACGCUGAGGCACGAAAGUGUGGGGAGCAAACAGGAUUAGAUACCCGAGUAGUC
rnacentral:rRNA from 1 species